rnacentral:lncRNA from 1 species
CAACAACUCAUUCAAAGGGAAAGCCUUCUGCUUCACCUUUGUCUUCUCCCCCUGAACUAUCUGGUGCUCCAGCAUCUCCAUUUGACAAUGCCAAUCUUUUGAAGGGCCAAAUUGCUGUGGAUGAUGUGAUACCAGCUCAAACCAUGACUAAGGCUACUAGCUCUGACAAAGAAAUUCCUAGCAAGGUGACCACAAGUUCUUCACAUUGGAUGAUGUGAUACCAGCUCAAAUCAUGACUAAGGCUACUAGCUCUGACAAAGAAAUUCCUAGCAAGGUGACCACAAGUUCUUCACAAGAUAAAGCAGGGCGUAAAAGGCAUGCAGGCUCUACGUCAACCGACCUGCGUAGCAUGUUGAUUUCUCUACUUAUGGAGAACCAGUCCAAGGGGAUGAGUCUUAAGGUAAGCAUGUGAACUAAAUUGGAC